ACAACUGGAGACGCAAGUUUCAGCAACGCAAUGUCAUUGUUGAAUGUCGUGCUGCUGUAGAGCGGAUGGGUGAUGACCUGACCAUACAGAAAGGGCAGAAAAAGAUGGACGGUUACUAGUGGAAGCUGACUUUAUAGAAGUGAUCAGUUGUGUGAAAAAGCAGAAAUGAAGCAACAAUUAAAAAGCAUUCAGUCAUUGAACACUUAAAUAUAUGAGCUGAUCUGUCAUUUUGAUAUUCAUCUCUGAAAUCAUUCAACAUUUUUACCUUGGAAACGAGUUUGACCUGGAUGGGUUCAACACUGGAGCCACGAUCAUGUUCUCCAAGAAUGACACGAUGAUAGCCGACCCUUAAAAGAGAGAGAUAAAGACAAAACUAACUGUUAAAAGACAAGAACAGCUUCUAUUAAGUACUAUUGUAUGUGACAUUUGUCAGAUUGAAGACUCUUACACGACACCACAGUGAGCAGCAGUGAGAACCCAGUUCUGGUUGAUCAGGGAUCCACCGCAGAAGUGGAAUCCGUUGGGUAGCUGUUUCAGAAGUAAAAGCAUUGAAAACAUGACAUAUACUCUUUGAACAAAUCAGGCAAAUGCAUGAUAAAAGCCGGCCAAUACACAGUUACCUGGAGAGAGACCUGCCAGGGCCAAGAACCAGAGAUGGCAUUCUGUCCGUUCACAAUCCUGCUGCCAAUCGUCUGUGGCUUAAUCUGUGGCACUCCACAACCUGUUGAUAAAGAACAGAAGUUCAUGACACAAGAAUGAAGCUCUUUAUUUGAGUUUUGCAUUUUGUAAAUAUAUAUAUAUUCACCCAUCACUUUUCUUGCAAACUUCUAAAGAAGACACUUACCCAGAGCAGAGGCCACAAGGGCAAGGCAGGUGAUGGUGAAGAUCAUGAUGUUGAUGAGCUUGUGAUGUCUCACUGUUGUAUCUGUAGGUGCUCUCUCUUGCUUUUAUAUCAUUUACAGCAGCUGCUAAAUCUGGGAAGUGAUGGAGGUCCAUCCCAGCAGCUCAAAUAACCUGAGAGCUGAGGAAUGUUGAGAUCUGUGAUCGCUGGAGACAAUCUGCAUCUGCACCUUCUGAAGUUUGUAUCUGGACCUCUUUGGCUUCUGAUAGAAGACAUCACACAGGUUUCAGCACCAUGGAUAGAGAAAUUAAACAGAUUGAUCUGUAUCAUCUUGGCAUGUCUACAAAAGUGAAUACCAAAGACAUUUUCAACAUGUGAUCAGAAGGAAUUUUUAUGGCUUUAUCAGUCCUCAUGCCUGUAUGUUUGGUGGCGACUUACAUGUGGUGGCAGUUUUGCCCCAUCCAGUGGUGAAGCAGCGGGUUCCAGGCAGGAUGUUGAUGGUUGAUGGAGCCAGACAUACAGGAGAGAUACGGGGAGUGAAGACAACUGGAGACGCAAGUUUCAGCAACGCAAUGUCAUUGUUCGAUGUCGUGCUGCUGUAGAGCGGAUGGGUGAUGACCUGACCAUACAGAAAGGACAGAAAAAGACAGACUGUUACUAGUGGAAGCUGACUUUAUAGAAGUCAUUCAACAUUUUUACCUUGGAAACUAGUUUGACCUGGAUGGGUUCAACACUGGAGCCACGAUCAUGUUCUCCAAGAAUGACACGAUGAUAACCGACCCUGAAAAGAGAGAGGAGCUGCUAAAUCUGGGAAGUGAUGGAGGUCCAUCCCAGCAGCUCAAAUAACCUGAGAGCUGAGGAAUGUUGAGAUCUGUGAUCGCUGGAGACAAUCUGCAUCUGCACCUUCUGAAGGCGACUUACAUGUGGUGGCAGUUUUGCCCCAUCCAGUGGUGAAGCAGCGGGUUCCAGGCAGGAUGUUGAUGGUUGAUGGAGCCAGACAUACAGGAGAGAUACGGGGAGUGAAGACAACUGGAGACGCAAGUUUCAGCAACGCAAUGUCAUUGUUGAAUGACUCUUACACGACACCACAGUGAGCAGCAGUGAGAACCCAGUUCUGAUUGAUCAGGGAUCCACCGCAGAAGUGGAUUCCGUUGGGCAGCUGUUUCAGAGAGCCUGGCGUAGCAGCUGAACCCCCCCUUCCUCUUAUCCUGGAGGAUGGAGCCGCGUAUCAGGUCAAUGAGAUAUUGGACUCCCGGCGCCAUGGUGGUCUACUGGAAUAUCUGGUGGACUGGGAAGGCUACGGUCCUGAGGAGCACUCAUGGGUACCCAGAAACGACAUCCUUGAUCCUACUCUACUCGGCACUUUCCAUGCUUCUCAUCCUGAUCGACAUGCUCCCUGUGGAAGAGGACAACCACCACGACGUCGGGCGACCAGCCGACCCCUCAGGAGUGGGCCGUGGAGGGGGGGUACUGUCACAGACCCGCCAGGCUCCACCAUCAUCCAAUCACAAAGCACUCCCUCACCAGAGUUCUGAUCACACGCACCUGUCACUAAUCAGAACUCCAUCAUCACCGCUACUUAACUCUCAGGGGUCGGCUGGUCGCGCCGGCGAUACCACCGUGCUUUUUUUCUUAUCAGUAUGAAAGAGACUCAAAAUACUUUGUCAAUGUUGCACAUACAAUUAAGA